CGAACGGGCUUAAACUGAAACUUAGUGAAGUUUAAGUUAGUGGCGGACGGGUGAGUAACGCGUGGAUAACCUGCCGUAUGCAGGGGGAUACCAACUGGAAACAGUUGCUAAUACCGCAUAAGCGCACAGCACCGCAUGGUGCAGUGUGAAAAGAUUUAUCGGCAUACGAUGGAUCCGCGUCCGAUUAGCCAGUUGGCGGGGUAGAAGCCCACCAAAGCGACGAUCGGUAGCCGGCCUGAGAGGGCGGACGGCCACAUUGGGACUGAGACACGGCCCAAACUCCUACGGGAGGCAGCAGUGGGGAAUAUUGCACAAUGGGGGGAACCCUGAUGCAGCGACGCCGCGUGGGUGAAGGAGUACUUCGGUACGUAAAGCCCUAUCAGCAGGAAAGAAAAUGACGGUACCUGACUAAGAAGCCCCGGCUAACUACGUGCCAGCAGCCGCGGUAAUACGUAGGGGGCAAGCGUUAUCCGGAUUUACUGGGUGUAAAGGGAGCGUAGACGGCAGUGCAAGUCCGGAGUGAAAGCCCGGGGCUCUACCCUGGGACUGCUCUGGAAACUGUAAAGCUGGAGUGCGGGAGGGGCAGGCGGCAUUCCUGGUGUAGCGGUGAAAUGCGU
rnacentral:rRNA from 1 species